CCUUUGUGAAAAUUUCAGAUUCCCCCUUCUCACGAAAAAUUUCCCUCUUCUCUCUCUCUCAGUACCCACAGACGACAGUGACUGAGAGCUCCCAUCUUCUCACCUUCAAACUCCCUAUCUUCUCUCUCGCGAUACCCCCAUUCACCCUAAACCCUCUCUCACUAUACCCAAUCACCGACACUCUCUCAUCACUCUCUCAUCCAGUCACAGAUAGUCACUCUGCCUGCCUCCUCUUCGUUUUGAGAUCUGUGCUCUUCGGUCGUCUCCUUCCUUCCUCUCGACGCUUCUUCUUCAGCUAGGGUUCGUAACUCCGAUCCUUUACCGAGACUGGGUAAGGGCACCGCAAUAACCUUCAACAACUCAUUUGGAGGUCAGUUGAAGUCCAAAUUUUGCAUUCCCUUUGGAGCUCACGCAGCUGCCUUUGGUGGAGUCUCUUAUCUCUGCCUGGAUAUGGAUAAAUCUUGGAUGCAUGAAGAUAGAAGAAGCAAAGAGAAUGAAGAUGGGGUUGAAGAAUUUCUAAGGAUAGCAUUAGCAAAUGCUAUUGAUCAUAGGCGCAUUCAUUGUCCAUGCCAGAGAUGUGGGAAUAGAAGAAAGUUUACUAUUAGAGUAAUAAGGGGGACAACGAGAGGGAGUGUGUCUCGAAGGUAAUGUUGGAACAACGAGAUUCUUUGAUAAUGGAGACAAGAAAGAUGAUGGAAGAACAACAAAAAAGGCAUGAAGCUGCACAACAAGCUCUUCAAAACCAAAUUGAGAUGCUAAAGGUGGUGAUUAACACUCAAGUUCCUAAUAACACAUCUCUCCAAUCCCCAAAUAUGCAUCAAUCUCCCAUCUUAUCCGAGAAAGCAUCAACAAACAUAGAGAGAAAACUUGAGGAGGGUGAAAAAGAAAUUUGUGGUGAAGAAGGUUGUGAGGAUGUGGUGGAGCAAACUGAAAGUGAGUUUAUGAAGUAUAGAGCUAGAAGGAAGGACACGUACACCCAAAUGGAAUUGGAUGAGGUGCGAGAAGAAUUGGCAAGUCAUGUCCUAGAAUGGCUGUUUGAUUAAGCUAAACAUUCCUUCAUUUUACAUGUCUUUCUAGCUAGUAUUUUGCUUAUGCAUAGACAAGUAUGGAUAAUUUGUGGUGUAGGGCUGGUAAAUUUGUGAUUUGGAUGUGACAAGUAUGGAUCAUUCAAGUAUUUUGCUUAUAUAUAUAUAGACAAUUAUGGAUA